rnacentral:pre_miRNA from 1 species
UUUGGUGUUUGAACGGAAAGCGUGGUCCUGCCUGGCUCCCUGGAUGCCAUCUGAGCAGCUUUCCAAAAGAGUGUUUGGAAACCUUCCUAGUUGGCAUGAGGGACGCCAUGCAGGCCGUCCAUUCAUUUUCCUCAUCUAUUGAG